rnacentral:rRNA from 1 species
CACGUAGGGGACGAGCGUUGUCCGGAUUUACUGGGCGUAAAGGGCGCGCAGGCGGCUCAUUUUGUCAGGCGUGAAAGCCCCGGGCUUAACCUGGGAACUGCGUUUGAUACGGAUGGGCUUGAGUCCGGGAGAGGUGAGUGGAACUCCGAGUGUAGAGGUGAAAUUCGUAGAUAUUCGGAAGAACACCAGUGGCGAAGGCGGCUCACUGGCCCGGUACUGACGCUGAGGUGCGAAAGCGUGGGGAGCAAACAGG